rnacentral:rRNA from 1 species
AUUGAACGCUGGCGGCAUGCUUAAACACAUGCAAGUCGAACGGUAGCAGACCUAGCUUGCUAGGUGCUGACGAGUGGCGGACGGGUGAGUAACGCGUGGGAAUCUGCCCAGUAGCGGGGGACAACUCGGGGAAACUCGAGCUAAUACCGCAUACGCCCUACGGGGAAAGGCUUCGGCCACUAUUGGAUGAGCCCGCGUCGGAUUAGCUUGUUGGUGGGGUAAUGGCCUACCAAGGCGACGAUCCGUAGCUGGUCUGAGAGGAUGAUCAGCCACACUGGGACUGAGACACGGCCCAGACUCCUACGGGAGGCAGCAGUGGGGAAUAUUGGACAAUGGGCGAAAGCCUGAUCCAGCAAUGCCGCGUGCAGGAAGAA